CACGUAGGGCGCGAGCGUUGUCCGGAAUUAUUGGGCGUAAAGAGCUCGUAGGCGGCCUGUUGCGUCCGCUGUGAAAGCCCGGGGCUUAACCCCGGGUCGGCAGUGGAUACGGGCAGGCUAGAGGUAGGUAGGGGAGAAUGGAAUUCCCGGUGUAGCGGUGAAAUGCGCAGAUAUCAGGAGGAACACCGGUGGCGAAGGCGGGUCUCUGGGCCGAUAUUGACGCUGAGGAGCGAAAGCGUGGGGAGCGAACAGG
rnacentral:rRNA from 1 species